UACGUAGGGUGCGAGCGUUAAUCGGAAUUACUGGGCGUAAAGCGUGCGCAGGCGGCUUUGCAAGACAGAUGUGAAAUCCCCGGGCUCAACCUGGGAACUGCAUUUGUGACUGCAAGGCUAGAGUACGGCAGAGGGGGACGGAAUUCCGCGUGUAGCAGUGAAAUGCGUAGAUAUGCGGAGGAACACCAAUGGCGAAGGCAAUCCCCUGGGCCUGUACUGACGCUCAUGCACGAAAGCGUGGGGAGCAAACAGG
rnacentral:rRNA from 1 species